rnacentral:rRNA from 1 species
GUGCCAGCCGCCGCGGUAAGACGUAGGAGGCGAGCGUUGUCCGGAUUCAUUGGGCGUAAAGAGCACGCAGGCGGUUUGGCAAGUCGGAUGUGAAAACCCGGAGCUCAACUCCGGGCGUGCAUCCGAUACUGCCCGACUAGAGGUAGGUAGGGGAGAUCGGAAUUCCUGGUGUAGCGGUGAAAUGCGCAGAUAUCAGGAGGAACACCGGUGGCGAAGGCGGAUCUCUGGGCCUUACCUGACGCUCAGGUGCGAAAGCUAGGGGAGCAAACAGGAUUAGAUACCCGGGUAGUCC